rnacentral:rRNA from 1 species
GGACGGAGUAACCUUCCGAGGUACCGGGUAAUGGGGGAUAACUAGUCAAAGAUUAGGAAAUACCGUUUGUUCUCUGAGGAUGGUAGCAGGGGUCCUUCGGGCCUUGGGUUGUUCUUAUGGCCCAAAUCUGAUUAGCUAGUUGGUGGCGGAAAGGCCCACCAAGGCGACAAUCAGCAGAGGGUCUGAGAGGAUGAUCCGGACACUGGGACUGAGACACGCCCCCCACUCCUACGGGAGGGAAAUUUGGGGAAUUUUGGACACUGUGCCCGACCCUGGUCCCGCCAUGCCGCGUGUCUGAAUAAGGGUUUCCGGUUGUAAAGGACUUUUGUCAGAGAAGAAGAAGACAGGGGUGUUACCCCUGUCCGAUGACCGUACCUUAACACUAUGCCCCAGCUAACUACCUGCCAACAGCCGCGGCAAUACCUAGAGUUCUGGGGUUAAUCCGAAUUACUGGGCGAAAGCCAAAUGCAGACCGUUAUUUAGGCUACAUGUGAAAAUCCCCGGGUUUCACCUUUGAGACCUGGCGUACUGGAAUUGGCGGGAGUAAAAUCGUGUCCCUAGGGAGAGAAGAGUUCCCCUGUGUAGAAGUGAAAUUGCCAUACAGAUGGGAGAAGGAAUACCCCAUGGGCGAAGGCCUGCCUCCCUGGGGACAACGCUGAAGUUC